rnacentral:tRNA from 1 species
UUCCUAAUGGCUCAGAUGGUAAAGAAUCUGCCUGAAAUGCAGGAGACCCAGGUUUGAUCCCUGGAUUGGAAA